UACGGAGGGCGCAAGCGUUGUUCGGAAUUACUGGGCGUAAAGCGCGUGUAGGCGGUUCAGCAAGUCGGUUGUGAAAGCCCCGGGCUCAACUCGGGAAUUGCGUCCGAAACUGCUGAACUGGAGUCCCGGAGAGGAAGGCAGUAUUCCCAAUGUAGGGGUGAAAUCCGUAGAUAUUGGGAGGAAUACCAGUGGCGAAGGCGGCCUUCUGGAAGGUGACUGACGCUGAGACGCGAAAGCGUGGGGAGCAAACAGG
rnacentral:rRNA from 1 species